GUCCUCUGUUUCUUAUUCCUUAGGAAACCUGUCUCCACGGACACUGAGAACCUGGUCAACUUAUCACCAAGUGAUCAAAGUGAAAGAGAAAGUCCUCUACAAACAAUAAAGAGAGCCUUCCAUUUACUCAGAACGAAGGAGAUCAUGCUUUUAAGUUUGGCCAUAGCAUAUACAGGUAUAGAGCUGACUUUCUUUAGUGGUGUAUAUGGAACCUGUAUUUCUAACACACCACAGUUUGGGGACAAUGCCAAGGGUCUCAUUGGUAUAUCUGGAAUGUUCAUUGGAGUGGGGGAAAUUCUAGGUGGCGCGGCUUUUGGUUUGAUGGGGAAAAGAACCAACAAAUAUGGCCGUGACCCUAUCGUGCUCCUGGGAUAUCUAGCACACAUGGCAGCUUUCUUCCUGAUUUUUAUGAAUAUUCCCAAUGGGUCUCCUCAAGAUAACACUGAUUCUGCUACUUACAUGACUCCUAGCCAGUAUGUAGCUGUGUUUUCCUCUUUCCUCUUGGGUUUUGGAGACAGUAGUUUCAACACACAGCUCUAUUCCAUUCUGGGUUUCAUGUUUCCAGAAGACAGCUCGCCAGCUUUUGCCUUGUUUAAAUUUGUACAGUCUAUAGCAGCUGCCGCAGCCUUUUACUACAGUGAGGCUCUGCUGCUCUACUACCAGCUGUUGAUACUCACUGUUCUGGGAGCCAUUGGCACCCUGGCCUUCUGUGUUGUAGAGUGGGGAGUCAGCAGAGCGUAUAGAAUGGGAUACCAGUCUAUCUGACCCCAGGAGGAGAAGAAUGAAGAGAUUGGCCUGGCUGUGUAUGACCGUGAGUCCCUAAUGAGUGAUGACUAGAGAGAGGUGGGGACUGGAGACGUGCAAUAAUCAUUAUACAUUCCCUGGUUGUAGCAGACAGAGUUUAUGUGUGAUAGACAAUUAUAGUGCCAAAGCAACGAUUUGUCACUGAUUCUGGGAUUAAUUUCGGUAACACAAUAUUACAGAAUUUUAUGAGGAAUAUAUGUAUAUACUGGUAAUCUGUACUAAGUCUUGUAUUUUACUUUGAAUAUUUUUAACUAUUUGUGCAGCUUUUUAUUUCUAUUUUAAAUAUACACCAUGUUCUCACAUAUAUUUUCAUAGCAAGGAUCAUGUACAUGUAAUUUAUAUAAAACAAGGAUGGAAUUAUAUGUAAAUUGUAUGUAUUGGCCAAUAUUUUUACUAUUAGAUUAUUGCAUGUUUAUGUUUUCAUGAUAUUAAAAGGUUUUCCAACCACCCUGGCAUGUAAAGCACCUUGGUGGCAAUAAUUGUAGAAUUAUUAAAUCUGAUCAUUAACCUAAUAUUUUUUUCCCAAAAGAAUAAGGAGAAAAAUAAAGUAAUUUGAGUUUCUAAUGCUUACAGUUUCUAUUUGUCUAGGUUUUUUGUAAUGUCAAAUAAUAAAGUGUUAAAACUUGG
rnacentral:misc_RNA from 1 species